rnacentral:rRNA from 1 species
GACGAACGCUGGCUGCGUGCUUAACACAUGCAAGUCGAACGAUGAAGCCUAGCUUGCUAGGUGGAUUAGUGGCGAACGGGUGAGUAAUACGUGAGUAACCUACCUUUAACUCUGGGAUAAGCCUGGGAAACUGGGUCUAAUACCGGAUACGACCAAUCUCCGCAUGGGGUGUUGGUGGAAAGCGUUAUGUAGUGGUUAUAGAUGGGCUCACGGCCUAUCAGCUUGUUGGUGAGGUAACGGCUCACCAAGGCGACGACGGGUAGCCGGCCUGAGAGGGUGACCGGCCACACUGGGACUGAGACACGGCCCAGACUCCUACGGGAGGCAGCAGUGGGGAAUAUUGCACAAUGGGCGCAAGCCUGAUGCAGCGACGCCGCGUGAGGGAUGACGGCCUUCGGGUUGUAAACCUCUGUUAGCAGGGAAGAAGAGAGAUUGACGGUACCUGCAGAGAAAGCGCCGGCUAACUACGUGCCAGCAGCCGCGGUAAUACGUAGGGCGCGAGCGUUGUCCGGAAUUAUUGGGCGUAAAGAGCUUGUAGGCGGUUUGUCGCGUCUGCUGUGAAAGGCCCGGAGCUUAACUCCCGUGUAUUGCAGUGGGUACGGGCAGACUAGAGUGCAGUAGGGGAGACUGGAAUUCCUGGUGUAGCGGUGGAAUGCGCAGAUAUCAGGAGGAACACCGAUGGCGAAAGGCAGGUCUCUGGGCUGUAACUGACGCUGAGAAGCGAAAGCAUGGGGAGCGAACAGGAUUAGAUACCCUGGUAGUCCAUGCCGUAAACGUUGGGCACUAGGUGUGGGGAACAUUCCACGUUUUCCGCGCCGUAGCUAACGCAUUAAGUGCCCCGCCUGGGGAGUACGGCCGCAAGGCUAAAACUCAAAGAAAUUGACGGGGGCCCGCACAAGCGGCGGAGCAUGCGGAUUAAUUCGAUGCAACGCGAAGAACCUUACCAAGGCUUGACAUAUACUGGACCGCAUCAGAGAUGGUGUUUCCCUUCGGGGCUGGUAUACAGGUGGUGCAUGGUUGUCGUCAGCUCGUGUCGUGAGAUGUUGGGUUAAGUCCCGCAACGAGCGCAACCCUCGUUCUAUGUUGCCAGCACGUUAUGGUGGGGACUCAUAGGAGACUGCCGGGGUCAACUCGGAGGAAGGUGGGGAUGACGUCAAAUCAUCAUGCCCCUUAUGUCUUGGGCUUCACGCAUGCUACAAUGGCCGGUACAGAGGGUUGCGAUACUGUGAGGUGGAGCUAAUCCCUAAAAGCCGGUCUCAGUUCGGAUUGGGGUCUGCAACUCGACCCCAUGAAGUCGGAGUCGCUAGUAAUCGCAGAUCAGCAACGCUGCGGUGAAUACGUUCCCGGGCUU